rnacentral:misc_RNA from 1 species
GCUUAAAGAGACAUCAAAGUGAAUCGAUUUCUUAAUGAAAUCAUAAAAUGAAGUCAUAUCCUUUGCAGGGUCGACUCCUUUCUUUUCCGUGAAAUCAAUGAUGCCCUUUAACACCGCGAUCUCAUCAUCCUCGCUCCAGAGACGUUGGAACAGCUGUUUCUUUGUAUCCUCAGAUUUUUCAACAACUCCAUCGGAUUCCAAAUCUUUAUUCUUGCCCCGCUUUGAGUCUUUCGGAUCGCGAUCAGUUUCACUGGCCCUCUUCACAGCUGCCGCAGAUUUCGUAGUAGCCGGAGAGGAUGCCGAGGGUUUGGUUCUUGGCUUCGUGGUUUUGGGAUGAGUCUCCUCCAUGGGCUUAGAAGCGAUGGGCUUGACAG